GACGAACGCUGGCGGCGUGCUUAACACAUGCAAGUCGAACGGUGAAGGGGUCUGCUUUUGUGGGCCCUGGAUGAGUGGCGAACGGGUGAGUAACACGUGAGUAACCUGCCCCCUUCUUCUGGAUAACCGCAUGAAAGUGUGGCUAAUACGGGAUAUUCUGGGUCUGUCGCAUGAUGGGUCUGGGAAAGAUUGCGCCUUUGGGUGUUUUUGGUGGGGGAUGGGCUCGCGGCCUAUCAGCUUGUUGGUGGGGUGAUGGCCUACCAAGGCGGUGACGGGUAGCCGGCCUGAGAGGGUGGACGGUCACACUGGGACUGAGGCACGGCCCAGACUCCUACGGGAGGCAGCAGUGGGGAAUAUUGCACAAUGGGCGCAAGCCUGAUGCAGCGACGCCGCGUGAGGGAUGGAGGCCUUCGGGUUGUAAACCUCUUUCGCCAGUGAAGCAGGCCUGCUCCUUGUGGGUGGGUUGACGGUAGCUGGAUAAGAAGCGCCGGCUAACUACGUG
rnacentral:rRNA from 1 species